UGAAGCCAGAUACCCACACCACCACUGCCAACCUGGAAGCCACCAGUGGCUCCCGUGUGCCCCCUCGCUCUACUCUCAGCCGCGCUGGCCUUCCUGUCACUCACACCCCCACUCAGCACCUGCACUCGUGAUCUCCUUCCACGAGUAUUUCUGAGAAAAUCCCAGCGCGAGAAAUGCAGCCUAUGGUCUACAUAACAAUUCCUAUCGCCCUACUUACCAACAUCCUGGAUCUUCUGAGGUGAGUUCCCACCCCCACCCCCAGCCCCGGGACCUGAGAGUAGAUGGUAGGGGGAGGGACAUACAGGAAGGAAGGGGCAGCAAGGCGCAUGCACUGGACGUGGAGCAGGAAGUACUCUGUGCCAGGCACUCCACCUAAGUUCCUGUUUAACACUCAUGACUUUUCCAUGAGGUAGGUAAGAUCUCCUCUAUAAAACAGAAAGCAGAGACUCAGAAAGUGAAGAAAAACACACUUUCCCAAGUCCCUGAUUUGAACCUGUGUCUUCAAGAAAUGGCUUCCCUAUUCCUGCCAGUGGUGUGUGUGGUAAUCCUGCUGAAGAAUCCACUCCCAGCCCUCCCACACACCCACACACCCUCCCUUGUGGCUGGGAGCCAGUAUGAAACACUUCCUGGAGCAAAUGAAGGCCACGCUUUGGGAGAGCGUGGAGCACACAGAGGCCCCGGCUCAGCAGAUCCGCACUGGCCUGGAAGGACUGCUGGGGACCAUCUCCCCGCUGGGUUCCUGCGCCGCAGUCAUCAAGGGCUGGCUGGAACUUGGACACAGUGAGUCCUUCAAGAGCCAGAGAUGUGAAAGCCACAAGAGUUUGUUUCCUCGUGGCUGCAGAGCUUCCAGAACCCAAAGACUCUGGUCUGAGCACAUCACAACUGCCUGUUAUGAAAUUCUGUAUGUUGAAAAAUUCAUCAAGUUGCGUUUGAGAUGUUACUUUUCAUGCUAAUUUUAUGCCACUUUUCAGUUAUGGUCACAAGCCUAAUCCCCCUUGAUUAACUGAAAAGGCAAGCAGGCUGACAGCGGUAUGCUUAUUAACUGUUCAUCACGGCCAAAGGGCAGAAAUGGACAAUGAAAUCAUUAAAAGCAGGAGGAAAACUUAUUUGGAGCCAGCAUCUAAUCAUCGCUGAGUCCUCCUUGGAAAGAGAAGGAAAUUGAACUAAUGAAUCUUCCCAUAACUACUUGCCAACUCUCUUGGGAGUCAGACUUCACGGUACACGAAGGUUCAGCAGCCGUUCAGAAUGAAAUCCAGUGCUACCGUGUCAUCUAUGACAAGAAAAAAGGACCUACUACCCAGACAUCACUGGAUCGGUUUUUCAGGAGGGUAGAUAGAAUUGAACCCAGCAAGGAACCAGACCCUGUGCCAUCAGCGUCAGGCAUGAGUGACAUUGCAGCCUGCCCUCCAUCUCCUAUUGCUGACGAUCCUUCAGCUCUACCGUCUCCCACCUCCUCUCCCUCCUCCAGUCAGUAACUCUUCUUGCCUGUUCACUCAACGCCAGCGCCUGUGUGGCAGGUGUUGUACUGCACUGCUGUACUUUUCAAGGUACUGUACUGUAAGAUUAUAAAUGUUUUCUUUAUUUUUUGUUUGUUUUUUAUGUAUUAUUUUUGUGAAAAGUAUUACAAACCUAUUACAGUACAGUACUAUAUAGCCGAUUGUGUUAGUUGGGUGCCUAGGCUAACUUUGCUGGACUUACGAACAAACUGGACUUAAGAACGCGCUCUUGGAAUGGAACUCGUUUGUAUGUAGGGGACUUACUAUAAUUAAACAGUUAAUCCCGCUAGGGGAUUGUAAGUAAAGAAAAAAGUAUUGGCGACCUCUGGAAGUUAAUGAUGACUCAAGAAAGCAGACUUGCUUAGCAACCAAACCAUGCAACAGAAGUAUGAGACACACCCCAAAACAAUAAAACAAUGGUGGCAUGAGACCCACAUCCUACCCAUAUCCUGACUCAGUAAGUUAAUGAUUCCUAGGACACACUCCUCUGCAUGUACUAAAAACAAAAAUAUAAGGAAAAGGUGACAUUAUACCAAAACCUGAGAUGAUUUAGCAUUUUUAGCAUAUGUUACCGCCUUUUUGCUCAUUUCCAUAGUGCCACGACAGUCCUGGCUUGACCAAGUAGGGACAAGAAAACUCCCCUGGCCAACCUGUAGGAGGAGCUGAUGAUGGAAGCCUGACGUCUACUCUAGAAUGAGGAAGAGGGUGGCCUUUACCCCCUCCCCACUUUUCCUUUGAUUAUAAAAGUGUGGCCCACUAAGUUCUCGGCACACGGCACCCUCUUGCCCGUCCGCUGCUUGUAACCUCACAAGCGUCCUAUUCUAAUAAAUCACUUCUAUCUAUCACUUUGCCUCUCACUGAAUUCUUUCUGCACUGAGACAUAAAGAACCGGAGCUCCUCGGAGACCUCCCUGAAACGCCACCUAGUGGUUUCAAUUUGACUGAAACUGAGUUGAAUCUAUAUAUCAUUUGGGGAAAACUGAUAUCUUAGCGAUACUGAAUUUUCCAGCCCAUGAACAUGGCAUGUCUCUCCAUCUAUUUAGAUCUUCCUUAAUUUCUCUCAGCAAUAUUUUGUGGUUUUCAGUUUACAGACCUUACAAAUUUUUGUCAGAUUUAUUCCUAAGUACUUCAUAUUUUUGAUGCUAUUAUAAAUGGUGCUUUAAAAAAUUUUUCAGUUUCUGAUGAUUCACUGCUAACACACAGAAAUGCAACUGAUUUUUGUAUAUCUUGUAUCCUGCAACUUUACUAAACCCACUUAUUAGUUCUAGUAGCUUUUUCAAAGAUUCCAUCACAUUUUCUACGAUGAUCAUGUCUGUGAAUAGACACUUUUACGUCUUCCUUUCCAAUGUGGGUUUUUUUUUUUCCCUUGCCUGAGUGCACUGGCUAGAACCUCUAGUACAAUGGUGAACAGAAAUGAUGAGAAUGGACGUUCCUGUCUUGCUCCUGAUAUUAGGGGAAAAGUAUUCAGUUUCUCACAAUUAAAUAUGUUAGCAGUAGUUUUAUAUAGAUCCCCUUUAUUGGGUUAAGGAAGUUCCCUUCUUUUCCUACUUGCUGAGGGUUUUUUUUUUUUUUUGCGGUACGCAGGCCUCUCACUGUUGUGGCCUCUCCUGCUGCGGAGCACAGGCUCCGGACGCGCAGGCUCAGCGGCCAUGGCUCAUGGGCCUAGCCGCUCCGCGGCAAGUGGGAUCUUCCUGGACCGGGGCACGAACCCGUGUCCCCUGCAUCGGCAGGCGGACUCUCAACCACUGCGCCACCAGGGAAGCCCGUUUUUUUUUUUAAAAUCAGAAAUAGAUGUUGGAUUUUUCAACUCUGUGCAGACAGUUGUUGAUUCCUCUCUCCUGCUCUAACGCCUGAGGUCCUGUUUAUCUUGCUUACACCCUGCUCCUGAGGAUCGCUUUCAUUUUCUGUAAGAAACUUCUGCUUCAUCAUGCCAGGGUAGGUGUUGGAUUUUGUCAAAUGCUUCUUCUGCACCUACUGAGAUGAUCAUAUGGUUUUGCUUUUUUAGUUUGUUAAUGUGGUGAAUUACAUUGAUUGAUUUUCAAAUGCUAAACCAACCCUGCAUUCUUGGGGUAAACCCCACUUGGUCAUAUUACAUCAGCCUUUUUAUAUAUUGCUGAAUGAGAUUGACAAAAACUGUGUUUAGAAUUUUAGCAUCUACAUUCAUGAGGGAUCUUGGUCUUUAGUCUUCUCUCCUUGCGAUGUCUUUGGUUUUAGUAUCAGGAUAACGCAAGCCUAACAGAAUGAGUUGGGAAGCGUUCCCUUCUCUUCAAUUUUCUGGAAGAGUGAGGGUGGAAUUGGUAUUACUUCUUCCUUGAAUGUUUGGUAGAAUUCACCAGGGAAGCCAUUUUGGGCCUGCAAUAGGCACUA